rnacentral:rRNA from 1 species
UACGGAGGAUCCAAGCGUUAUCCGGAUUUAUUGGGUUUAAAGGGUGCGUAGGCGGCCUACUAAGUCAGGGGUGAAAGACGGUAGCUCAACUAUCGCAGUGCCUUUGAUACUGAUAGGCUUGAAUACACUUGAAGUAGGCGGAAUGUGACAAGUAGCGGUGAAGUGCAUAGAUAUGUCACAGAACACCGAUUGCGAAGGCAGCUUACUAAAGUGUGAUUGACGCUGAGGCACGAAAGCGUGGGGAUCAAACAGG